rfam:Enterococcus sulfureus ATCC 49903 acyDF-supercont2.1, whole genome shotgun sequence.
GCGGGUGUAGUUUAGUGGUAAAACUACAGCCUUCCAAGCUGUUAUCGCGAGUUCGAUUCUCGUCACCCGCU